CGAGUCGGCCAGGCGGUCGCGGCGGAUGCGGGAGACCACAUCCGGCGAGGAACGUCCGGGCUCCACAGGGCAGGGUGGUUGCUAACGGCAACCCGGGGCGACCCGCGGGACAGUGCCACAGAAAGUAGACCGCCGGCCUCGGCCGGUAAGGGUGAAACGGUGGUGUAAGAGACCACCAGCGCCGCCGGUGACGGCGACGGCUCGGUAAACCCCACCCGGAGCAAGGUCAAGAGGAGCCGCGAGGCUCUGCGUGAAGGUUCGAGGGCGGCCCGCCCGAGUUCGCAAGAACGCCUUCACGGGUAGACCGCUCGAGCGCGCCAGCAAUGGCGCGCCUAGAUGGAUGGCCGCUCAAUGACAGAACCCGGCGUAUCGGUCGGCUCGUUCC
rnacentral:RNase_P_RNA from 1 species